rnacentral:rRNA from 1 species
GAUGAACGCUAGCUACAGGCUUAACACAUGCAAGUCGCGGGGCAGCAUGGGGGUUGCUUGCAAUCCCCGAUGGCGACCGGCGCACGGGUGAGUAACGCGUAUCCAACCUGCCCUUCACCACGGGAUAACCCGGCGAAAGUCGGACUAAUACCGUAUGUUGUCCAUUGACGGCAUCCGAUUUGGACGAAAGGUUUGGCGGUGAAGGAUGGGGAUGCGUCCGAUUAGCUGGACGGCGGGGUGACGGCCCACCGUGGCGACGAUCGGUAGGGGUUCUGAGAGGAAGGUCCCCCACACUGGAACUGAGACACGGUCCAGACUCCUACGGGAGGCAGCAGUGAGGAAUAUUGAUCAAUGGGCGUAAGCCUGAACCAGCCAAGUAGCGUGCAGGAUGACGGCCCUAUGGGCUGUAAACUGCUUUUAUGCGGGGAUAAAGUGGCCCACGUGUGGGUUUUUGCAGGUACCGCAUGAAUAAGGACCGGCUAAUUCCGUG